rnacentral:lncRNA from 1 species
CAAACCAUAUUCUAUCCUAUUUAGAAGGUGCCUAACCAUUUUGAGAUUAUUUAGAUUUAUGAUUAUCUACAUACCUAAAAUGUAAAACAUCAUAAUUAUAUAUCAGCAGAUUAAAUCUUGCUUUCAGCAAAUGCGAGUAUUCUUUCAUCUGGAGGUGUUUAUUUUUAAUUUUUUUGCCUGUGUUUUUGUAUUUCUCUUCCUUUAAAUGAGGUGUCAUAGAAAAG